rnacentral:rRNA from 1 species
GAUGAACGCUGGCGGCGUGCCUAAUACAUGCCAGUCGAGCGAACGGACGAGAAGCUUGCUUCUCUGAUGUUAGCGGCGGACGGGUGAGUAACACGUGGAUAACCUACCUAUAAGACUGGGAUAACUUCGGGAAACCGGAGCUAAUACCGGAUAAUAUUUUGAACCGCAUGGUUCAAAAGUGAAAGACGGUCUUGCUGUCACUUAUAGAUGGAUCCGCGCUGCAUUAGCUAGUUGGUAAGGUAACGGCUUACCAAGGCAACGAUGCAUAGCCGACCUGAGAGGGUGAUCGGCCACACUGGAACUGAGACACGGUCCGGACUCCUACGGGAGGCAGCAGUAGGGAAUCUUCCGCAAUGGGCGAAAGCCUGACGGAGCAACGCCGCGUGAGUGAUGAAGGUCUUCGGAUCGUAAAACUCUGUUAUUAGGGAAGAACAUAUGUGUAAGUAACUGUGCACAUCUUGACGGUACCUAAUCAGAAAGCCACGGCUAACUACGUG